AUUGAACGCUGGCGGCAGGCCUAACACAUGCAAGUCGAGCGGAUGAAGGGAGCUUGCUCCUGGAUUCAGCGGCGGACGGGUGAGUAAUGCCUAGGAAUCUGCCUGGUAGUGGGGGAUAACGUCCGGAAACGGGCGCUAAUACCGCAUACGUCCUGAGGGAGAAAGUGGGGGAUCUUCGGACCUCACGCUAUCAGAUGAGCCUAGGUCGGAUUAGCUAGUUGGUGGGGUAAAGGCCUACCAAGGCGACGAUCCGUAACUGGUCUGAGAGGAUGAUCAGUCACACUGGAACUGAGACACGGUCCAGACUACUACGGGAGGCAGCAGUGGGGAAUAUUGGACAAUGGGCGAAAGCCUGAUCCAGCCAUGCCGCGUGUGUGAAGAAGGUCUUCGGAUUGUAAAGCAUUUUAAGUUGGGAGGAAGGGCAGUAAGUUAAUACCUUGCUGUUUUGACGUUACCAACAGAAUAAGCACCGGCUAACUUCGUG
rnacentral:rRNA from 1 species